rnacentral:rRNA from 1 species
AUUGAACGCUGGCGGCAGGCCUAACACAUGCAAGUCGAACGAGUGGCGGACGGGUGAGUAAUGUCUGGGAAACUGCCUGAUGUAGGGGGAUAACUCCUGGAAACGGUAGCUAAUACCGCAUACCAUCAUAUGUGCCCAGAUGGGAUUAGCUUGUUGGUGGGGUAACGGCUCACCAAGGCGACGAUCCCUAGCUGGUAUGAGAGGAUGACAAGCCACAAUGGAACUGAGAGACGGUCCAGAAGCCUACGGGAGGCAGCAGUGGGGAAUAUUGCACAAUGGGCGCAAGCCUGAUGCAGCAAGGCCGCGUGUAUGAAGAAGGCCUUAGGGUUGUAAAGGACUUUCAGCGGGGAGGCGUUACCCGCAGAAGAAGCACCGGCUAACUCCGUGCCAGCAGCCGCGGUAAUUC